GCCUUCGUGGUAAAAUGGUCAGCACACUGAGCCAGUAUUUCAGAGGUCCGUGGUUCGAUUCCCGGCGAAGGAA
rnacentral:tRNA from 1 species